rnacentral:rRNA from 1 species
AUGAACGCUGGCGGCGUGCCUAAUACAUGCAAGUCGAGCGAACGGACGAGAAGCUUGCUUCUCUGAUGUUAGCGGCGGACGGGUGAGUAACACGUGGAUAACCUACCUAUAAGACUGGGAUAACUUCGGGAAACCGGAGCUAAUACCGGAUAAUAUUAUGAACCGCAUGGUUCAAAAGUGAAAGACGGUCUUGCUGUCACUUAUAGAUGGAUCCGCGCUGCAUUAGCUAGUUGGUAAGGUAACGGCUUACCAAGGCAACGAUGCAUAGCCGACCUGAGAGGGUGAUCGGCCACACUGGAACUGAGACACGGUCCAGACUCCUACGGGAGGCAGCAGUAGGGAAUCUUCCGCAAUGGGCGAAAGCCUGACGGAGCAACGCCGCGUGAGUGAUGAAGGUCUUCGGAUCGUAAAACUCUGUUAUUAGGGAAGAACAUAUGUGUAAGUAACUGUGCACAUCUUGACGGUACCUAAUCAGAAAGCCACGGCUAACUACAUG